UACAAUUUCAUAAGUUUCAUGCAAUUUUGUUAAUUUAAUUUAUGUUUUGAUCCCUUAAAUCACUGAAAUUUACUAAAUGUAUUAAUUUGAUACAUUAAAGUGUGUUUACUGUGUAUGUGGAAGGACCUUCAUGCCGAAACGUGUUGUACAUUUGUUACUUGUUAUAUAAAAAGCUUGAAGUCCUAUUUGCCUGUGAAGUGGGAGUGAGAGAAGCAGUGCCUAGGUGAAAUCUGGAGUAUUGUUUUAGAAGACCCCUCAAUCUACUUGGAUUUUAUGGGAUGAUCACAGAGCAGCAGUUACUCUCCGUGCUGGCUUCUGUUAGCUGUACCUAUAUUAGGACACAACUAUAUCAGGUGAGUGAGCCAUCAGUAGAGUGACAGAUUUUUUUUUUUUAUAUUGGUGCAUUGAUGAUACAAGAUUAGAAGCACUGCUGAUUUUUUUUGCAUGUGUAUCCAGAAGCAGGAACAACAAUAAAAGCAGAAAGUGCUCUAUAGUGUUGCCAUGAAACAUGUUGCAUGCUGGGUAAUAAACCUGAUGUUUCGUUUCUCACUACUUUGGUGUGGAAGCUCUCUUGGCGCUAAGUCCCAUCAUCCUUCCGGAAUCGUCUGCUUUAUCAGAAGCAGGAACAAACAGUGUUCACAGUGGGAGCUUUAGGAAACCAGGGAAGGAAAAUAAAAGCUACAACAGUGAUGCAGUUGGAAAGCAGGAAUAAGUUGGGAGCAAAUUUUCGAUGUUUUGAAACAAAAUAAUUUUUUAUUUUAAAUAUGAGAACAAUUUUCCAAAGUGGAAAGGGACAUGAGGACCUGAAAGAAAGCCACAGACAAUAUUAACAAUGGAAGCCAGGUAGCCUUUGGCUGUCUGGGAAUGAUGAGGGUUGUAGUAUAGCAACAGCCUGUUUGGGAAGACCUUAAAAACACAGUGCAUCAGAAAUCUCUUCUCCAUCCACAUGCCAUUUAUAGAACUAUACUAUAAAACCAUUCCCCAGCACAGUGCAGACUGUUCAGUGCCUUUUCACCAGCACAAUGUCAUGGCACCGACACAGUGGAAACCAACACAGAGAGCAACACGGAAAAAAAAACUAUAACAGAAAAUUGUACAGCUUUUUUUUGUGCUUUGAACCAAACUCCUGGUGAGUUAAAAUAUAAAAAUUAUGGCAUAA